rnacentral:piRNA from 1 species
UUCAUAUUGAGAAAAGCACAAAC